AGACGCAGUCAGUAACAAAAUAUUUAUAUUUAUUUUCUUACGUAGAUUUUUAGGGACCAUGAAGUACAAAUGAGGCUUGAAUGUGGAUUUUUGUGGUAUUUGUAUUUGAAGUGUUUCUACCUAAAUAUUUCAAUGCAGAAUCAUACCUUAUUUUUGUUAUUAAAUGCAACUUCUUUACCACUCUUACAUAUGUAUUUAUGUAAGUAUUAUUCAAUGCUACGUGUAGCUAAAGUACCAAAUCAUGAAAGUGUUGGAUUGUUUACAGACUCAAGGACACUUGGAUAGUCUUCCCAGGAAAUGAGAGGUGUUCAGGAGGCAUAUGGGGUUGCUAACAUUUUAGGCACAGUAGACUGCACCCAAGUAAAAAUAUUUCCAUAACCUUUACCGCAUGGCGUACAGUUUCUAAACAGAAAAGGAAUUCAUUCGCUAAACGUUCAAUUGAAAUCUUCCAAUAAAAGGCGAACCUGAAGCGGAAAUGGAAGGGGGCGCUGCUCGAGGGAUGCAUUACAUGCAGAGAAGCGUGCCCUAUUAAUAAAUAAAUAUUUCGCCUAGUAUUAUUUUA